GCCUAGCACAUGCAAGUCGAACGGUACUUAAUGGAAUGCGGCUUCGGCCAAAGGAAGUUAGGUUUAGUGGCGAACGGGUGAGUAACGCGUGAGGAACCUGCCUUUCAGUGGGGGACAACAGUUGGAAACGACUGCUAAUACCGCAUAAUGUUAUCGAGCGGCAUCGCUUGGUAACCAAAGCUUUAUGUGCUGAAAGAUGGCCUCGCGUUUGAUUAGAUAGUUGGUGGGGUAACGGCCUACCAAGUCAACGAUCAGUAGCCAGUCUGAGAGGAUGAACGGCCGCAUUGGGACGGAAAUACAGCCCAGACUCCUACGGGAGGCAGCAGUGGGGGAUAUUGGGCAAUGGGGGAAACCCUGACCCAGCAACGCGGCGUGAAGGAAGAAGGCCUUCGGGUUGUAAACUUCUUUAACCAGGGACGAAGAACGUGACGGUACCUGGAGAAAAAGCAACGGCUAACUACGUGCCAGCAGCCGCGGUAACAC
rnacentral:rRNA from 1 species